UACAGAGGUGGCAAGCGCUGUUCGGAAUUACUGGGCGUAAAGGGCGCGUAGGCGGUUCGUUAAGUCCUGUGUGAAAUCCCCCGGCUCAACUGGGGAACUGCACAGGAAACUAGCGGGCUUGAGUUCGGGAGAGGGAAGCGGAAUUCCGGGUGUAGCGGUGAAAUGCGUAGAUAUCCGGAGGAACACCGGUGGCGAAGGCGGCUUCCUGGACCGACACUGACGCUGAGGCGCGAAAGCUAGGGGAGCAAACGGG
rnacentral:rRNA from 1 species